UCAAUUAGAAAGAAUAUGGAGUAGCAGUCACCCAUGAAGGGUGGCUGAGAACUGAAGCUACCAAGAGUCACUUGCUUUGAGGUGUUUCUGCCUUCCACUGGGAGAAGGAGGGAAGGUACGUAUAACCAGUCUGGAUCUCCACCCUAAAAACUUGGGCUGGUCUCAGUGAAAUGCUUGACAAGAUCAUCAUUGCUCCCAGAUUCGGAGGGAACAGCCACAGCCUCUAGUAAACUCCCGUUGAAGCCCAGUGUUGAAAUACUAAUGAGAAUUCAGAAGAUGCACUUCAGAAACGAAUUCCCUCAGUCAUGGUCCCAGACCCUUUUCCUGACUCUGUACCACUCUCUGGUCCUGAUGCUGAGGAGUGAAGCUCUCAUGAUAGGAACUGUAAUUCCUUUAGCUGCUGGCAGAAGCAUGGAGCAGUAGCAUCAUCCUCACAGCCCACUGACAGGACGUCUGCAGAGGAAAGCUGCAGGCACAGAAUGGAACUGCUUCUACACAGAUGCUAACUGCUACAGGGAGCAGAGCUGAAGGGCAGGGACUACUCACACCCUUUGGAGCCCCAGUGCUAUCAUUGUGAGCCUCAGACACUGGACAUUCAUGUAAAUACUGGAUCAGUAGAUUCAAGACUUG